rnacentral:rRNA from 1 species
GCGACGCCGCGUGUGUGAAGAAGGCCUGCGGGUUGUAAAGCACUUUUAGUGGGGAUGAAAAGCACAUCGCUAAUACCGGUGUGUCUUGACCUAACCCAAAGAAAAAGCACCGGCUAACUCUGUGCCAGCAGCCGCGGUA